rnacentral:rRNA from 1 species
CAGCCGCCACGGUAAUACGAAGGGUGCAAGCGUUAAUCGGAAUUACUGGGCGUAAAGCGUGCGUAGGCGGUUUGUUAAGUCUGUUGUGAAAUCCCCGGGCUCAACCUGGGAAUGGCAAUGGAUACUGGCAAGCUAGAGUGUGUCAGAGGAUGGUGGAAUUCCCGGUGUAGCGGUGAAAUGCGUAGAGAUCGGGAGGAGCAUCAGUGGCGAAGGCGGCCAUCUGGGACAACACUGACGCUGAGGCACGAAAGCGUGGGGAGCAAACAGGAUUAGAUACCCGAGUAGUCCCUGUCUCUUAUAC